rnacentral:rRNA from 1 species
GAUGAACGCUGGCGGCGUGCCUAAUACAUGCAAGUCGAGCGAACAGACGAGGAGCUUGCUCCUCUGACGUUAGCGGCGGACGGGUGAUUAACACGUGGAUAACCUACCUAUAAGACUGGGAUAACUUCGGGAAACCGGAGCUACUACCGGAUAAUAUAUUGAACCGCAUGGUUCACUAGUGAAAGACGGUUUUGCUGUCACUUAUAGAUGGAUCCGCGCCUCAUUAGCUAGUUGGUAAGGUAACGGCUUACCAAGGCAACGAUGCGUAGCCGCCCUGAGAGGGUGAUCGGCCACACUGUAACUGAGACACGUCCCAGACUCCUACGGGAGGCAGCAGUAGGGAAUCUUCCGCGAUGGGCGAAAGGCGGACGGAGCAACGCCGCGUGAGUGAUGAAGGUCUUCGGAUCGGAAAACUCUGUUAUUAGGGAAGAACAAAUGUGUAAGUAACUAUGCACGUCUUGACGGUACCUAAUCAGAAAGCCACGGCUAACUACGUG